UACGUAGGGUGCAAGCGUUAAUCGGAAUUACUGGGCGUAAAGCGUGCGCAGGCGGUUUGUUAAGUCUGCUGUGAAAUCUCCGAGCUCAACUUGGGAAUUGCAGUGGAUACUGGCAGGCUGGAGUAUGGUAGAGGAAGGUGGAAUUCCCGGUGUAGCAGUGAAAUGCGUAGAGAUCGGGAGGAACACCAGUGGCGAAGGCGGCCUUCUGGACCAAUACUGACGCUCAUGCACGAAAGCGUGGGGAGCAAACAGG
rnacentral:rRNA from 1 species